GAUUUCUGGCUGACCGUCCUGGCCCGCUUCUUUUACGGGAGUGAGUGCCGGUACGAGUUUGCCAUCCUUCUAGAAAGCCACGCCUACCGUUCAUUCGUGCGGGCGUGUGCGGUCUAGAUCUUUUACUUUGAAAAAAUUAGAGUGUUUAAAGCAGGCUUACGCUAUGAAUACAUUAGCAUGGAAUAAUAAUUUAGGACUUUGCUCCUAUUUUAUUGGUUUCUAGGGGUAAAGUAAUGAUUGAUAGGGAUAGUUGGGGGUGCUAGUAUUCAUCGGCCAGAGGUGAAAUUCUUGGAUUCGAUGAAGACUAACUUAUGCGAAAGCAUU
rnacentral:rRNA from 1 species